GAUGAACGCUGGCGGCGUGCCUAAUACAUGCAAGUCGAGCGAACGGACGAGAAGCUUGCUUCUCUGAUGUUAGCGGCGGACGGGUGAGUAACACGUGGAUAACCUACCUAUAAGACUGGGAUAACUUCGGGAAACCGGAGCUAAUACCGGAUGAUAUUUUGAACCGCAUGGUUCAAAAGUGAAAGACGGUCUUGCUGUCACUUAUAGAUGGAUCCGCGCUGCAUUAGCUAGUUGGUAAGGUAACGGCUUACCAAGGCAACGAUGCAUAGCCGACCUGAGAGGAUGAUCGGCCACACUGGAACUGAGACACGGGCCAGACUCCUACGGGAGGCAGCAGUAGGGAAUCUUCCGCAAUGGGCGAAAGCCUGACGGAGCAACGCCGCGUGAGUGAUGAAGGUCUUCGGAUCGUAAAACUCUGUUAUUAGGGAAGAACAUAUGUGUAAGUAACUGUGCACAUCUUGGCGGUACCUAAUCAGAAAGCCACGGCUAACUACGUG
rnacentral:rRNA from 1 species